rnacentral:rRNA from 1 species
CCUACGGGAGGCAGCAGUGGGGAAUAUUGGACAAUGGGCGAAAGCCUGAUCCAGCAAUGCCGCGUGUGUGAAGAAGGCCUGCGGGUUGUAAAGCACUUUCGGUAGGAAAGAAAAGACCGUCGCUAAUACCGGCGGUUCUUGACGUUACCUACAGAAGAAGCACCGGCUAAUUCCGUGCCAGCAGCCGCGGUAAUACGGAAGGUGCGAGCGUUAAUCGGAAUUACUGGGCGUAAAGCGCGCGUAGGUGGUUCGGUAAGUCAGGCGUGAAAUCCCUCGGCUUAACUGAGGUUUGGCGCUUGAAACUAUCUGACUUGAGUUUAGGAGAGGAGAGUGGAAUUCCCAGUGUAGCGGUGAAAUGCGUAGAUAUUGGGAGGAACACCUGUGGCGAAGGCGGCUCUCUGGACUAAUACUGACGCUGAGGCGCGAAAGCUAGGGGAGCAAACAGGAUUAGAUACCCUGGUAGUCCACGCCCUAAACGAUGAGAACUGGAUGUCGGGAGGGUUUGCCUUCCGGUGUCGUAGCUAACGCGUUAAGUUCUCCGCCUGGGAAGUACGGCCGCAAGGUUGAAACUCAAAGGAAUUGACGG